GACGUAGGAGGCGAGCGUUGUCCGGAUUCAUUGGGCGUAAAGAGCGCGCAGGCGGCUUGGUAAGUCGGAUGUGAAAUCCCGAGGCUCAACCUCGGGUCUGCAUCCGAUACUGCCCGGCUAGAGGUAGGUAGGGGAGAUCGGAAUUCCUGGUGUAGCGGUGAAAUGCGCAGAUAUCAGGAGGAACACCGGUGGCGAAGGCGGAUCUCUGGGCCUUACCUGACGCUCAGGCGCGAAAGCGUUGGGAGCAAACAGG
rnacentral:rRNA from 1 species